UACGUAGGGUGCGAGCGUUGUCCGGAAUUAUUGGGCGUAAAGGGCUCGUAGGCGGUUUGUCGCGUCGGGAGUGAAAACUCAGGGCUUAACCCUGAGCCUGCUUCCGAUACGGGCAGACUAGAGGUAUGCAGGGGAGAACGGAAUUCCUGGUGUAGCGGUGAAAUGCGCAGAUAUCAGGAGGAACACCGGUGGCGAAGGCGGGUUCUCUGGGCAUUACCUGACGCUGGAGGAGCGAAACGUGUGGGGAGG
rnacentral:rRNA from 1 species